UACAGAGGAGCCAAGCGUUGUUCGGAUUUACUGGGCGUAAAGGGCGCGUAGGCGGUCAGCACAAGUCAGUUGUGAAAUCUCCGGGCUUAACUCGGAAAGGUCAACUGAUACUGUGCGACUAGAGUGCAGAAGGGGCAACUGGAAUUCUCGGUGUAGCGGUGAAAUGCGUAGAUAUCGAGAGGAACACCUGCGGCGAAGGCGGGUUGCUGGGCUGACACUGACGCUGAUGCGCGAAAGCCAGGGGAGCGAACGGG
rnacentral:rRNA from 1 species